rnacentral:rRNA from 1 species
AACGAACGCUGGCGGCAUGCCUAACACAUGCAAGUCGAACGAGACCUUCGGGUCUAGUGGCGCACGGGUGCGUAACGCGUGGGAAUCUGCCCUUGGGUUCGGAAUAACAGUUAGAAAUGACUGCUAAUACCGGAUGAUGUCUUCGGACCAAAGAUUUAUCGCCCAGGGAUGAGCCCGCGUAGGAUUAGCUAGUUGGUGGGGUAAAGGCCUACCAAGGCGACGAUCCUUAGCUGGUCUGAGAGGAUGAUCAGCCACACUGGGACUGAGACACGGCCCAGACUCCUACGGGAGGCAGCAGUGGGGGAAUAUUGGACAAUGGGCGAAAGACCUGAGUCCACGCAAUGCCGCGUGAGUGAUGAAGG